rnacentral:rRNA from 1 species
GACGAACGCUGGCGGCGUGCCUAACACAUGCAAGUCGAACGGAGUUGCCCUUCGGGACAACUUAGUGGCGAACGGGUGAGUAACGCGUGAGAAACCUGCCUUUCAGUGGGGGACAACAGUUGGAACGACUGCUAAUACCGCAUAACAUAUUCGGGGGCGAUCCCUCGAAUAUCAAGCUUAAUGUGCUGAAAGAUGGUCUCGCGUCUGAUUAGCUAGAUGGCGGGGUAACGGCCACCAUGGCGACGAUCAGUAGCCGGUCUGAGAGGAUGAACGGCCACAUUGGGACUGAGAUACGGCCCAGACUCCUACGGGAGGCA